UUGACAUUUGGAGUAAUUUGGAGUCGAAAGUGCUUACGAUGACUGGGUUGUAAUGAAGGUUAUAGGUGGGAAAACUUUUGUUCUGUAUAUUGGAAUAACUAUCUGGCUAUAUGUAUCCUUCGAGAUAGAGAAAAGCAAUGCAUGGACACUUGGGCACAAGAUUCCUAAUCAAAUGAAAUGGUACAAGAUGCGGUAUUGUUUACGAAAUCGUGAUUGUGAGGAUGAUCAAAUCUGUGGAUUGGGAAUAUGUAUCAAUCCAUGUUUAUACAAAAAAUGUUGCAAUAAUGAAGCUUGCCAAGUAAAUAAUCAUAAAAUUCGUUGUAAAAAGGUUCUGCUUAUGACAAACAUAUCUACAACAAAUAUUUUGCCAGAUACAACACCUUCUCCUGUCAUCGUAUCAAGUCCACUUUAAUCAUCUACUUAUUAACUGUACUGGUGUUGAUAUUUUGUCUAUUUACAUACACAAUCAUUAACAACUGUAGAUGAUGCCUUGCAUUUAAAAUGAUUGAAUAUUAUUACUUUUCUCUUUCUUU